rnacentral:rRNA from 1 species
GACGAACGCUGGCGGCGUGCUUAACACAUGCAAGUCGAACGGUGAAGCCUUCGGGUGGAUCAGUGGCGAACGGGUGAGUAACACGUGAGCAAUCUGCCCUUGACUCUGGGAUAACUUCGGGAAACCGGAGCUAAUACCGGAUAUGACAUCUGGCCGCAUGGUCUGGGUGUGGAAAGAUUUAUCGGUCAGGGAUGAGCUCGCGGCCUAUCAGCUUGUUGGUGGGGAAUGGCCCACCAAGGCGACGACGGGUAGCCGGCCUGAGAGGGCGACCGGCCACACUGGGACUGAGACACGGCCCAGACUCCUACGGGAGGCAGCAGUGGGGAAUAUUGCGCAAUGGGCGAAAGCCUGACGCAGCGACGCCGCGUGAGGGAUGAAGGCCU